rnacentral:lncRNA from 1 species
CGCCGGCCACAAGAGUCGCCCUGGCGACACGUGGGGCUUCUCUGUUGGGAAUCUCCUGGUCCGUGAGCAACAAAUAUUCGUCUGAAAGUGUGGCAUCCUCUCGUUCUCUGCGCUUUCACUGGGAGCUAGGAGCCUGAGCUGCUAGUGAUCAGCCAUCUUAGCUUUUUUUUUCAAGUAUUCUUUUAUUUUGAAUAUAAUCACACUGAAAGUACUCUUUUAUAAAAAUAUACUCCCUCUUAAAUUACUCUUUUAUUUUAAAUAUAAUUGCACUCAAAAUACGCUUUUAUAAAAAAUGUAGUCCCUCACAAAGUACGCUUUUAUUUUGAAUAUAAUCACAUUCAAAUUACUCUUUUAUAUAAAAUAUACUGCCUCUCAAAAUACUCUUUUAUUUUGAAUAUAAUCACACUCACACUAUUCUUUUAUAAAAAAUAUAGUUCCUCUAAAAGUACUCUUUUAUUUUGAAUAUAGUCACACUCAAAGUACUCUUUUAUAAAAAAUGUACUCCAUCUCAAAUUACCCUUUUAUUUUGAAUAUAAUCACACUCAGAGUACUCUUCUAUAGAAAUAUAGUCCCUCUCAAAGUACUCUAUUAUUUUGAAUAUAAUCUCACUCAAAGUACUGUUUUGUAAAAAAUAUACUCCCUCUCAAAUUACUCUAUUAUUUUGUAUAUAAUCACACUCAAAAUACUCUUUUAUAAAAAAUAUACUCCCGCUCAAAGUACUUGUUUAUAAAAUAUAUAUUCCCCCUCAAAGUUCUCUUUUAUUUUGAAUAUAAUCACACUCAAAGUACUCUUUAAUAAAAAAUAUCCUCCCUCUCAAUGUACUCUAUUAUUUUGAAUAUAAUCACAGUCAAAGUACUCUUUUAUGACAAAUAUACUCCUUCCCAAAGUACUCUUUAUAAAAAAUACACUCCCUCUCUAAGUACUCUUUUAUUUUGAAUAUAAUCACACUCAAAUUACAUGUUUAUAAAGAAUAUACUCCAUCUCAAAGGAUUCUUUUAUAAAAAAUAUACUCCCUCUCAAAGUACUUUUAUUUUGAAUAUAAUCACACUCAAUGUACUCUUUUAUAAAAAAUAUACUCCCUCUCAAAGUAGUCUUAUUUUGAAUAUAAUCACACACAAAGUAAUCUUUUACAAAAAAAUAUACUCCCUCUCAAAUUACUCUUUUACUUUGAAUAUAACACUCAAAGUACUCUUUUAUGAAAAAUAUACUUCUAAAAUUACUCUUUUAAAUUUAUUAUAAUCACACAAAAAUAACUCAUUUAGAAAAAAAAUACUCCCUCUGAAACUACUCUUUUAUUAUGAAUAUAAUCACACUCAAUGUAUUCUUUUAUAAAAAAUAUAGUCCCUCUCAAUAUACUCUUUUAUUUUGAAUAUUAUCACACUCAAAAUACUCUUUUAUAAAAAAUAUACUCCCUCUCAAAUUACUCUUUUAUUUUGAAUAUAAUCACACUCAGAGUACUAUUCUAUAAAAAACAUACUCCCUUUCAAAGUACUAUUUUGAAUAUAAUCUCACUCAACGUACUCUUUGGUAAAAAAUAUACUCCCUCUCAAAUUAGUCAUUUAUUUUGAAUAUAAUCACCCUCAAAAUAAUCUUUUAUAAAAAAUAUACUCCCUCUUAUUUUCAAUAUAAUCACACUCAAUGUACU